rnacentral:rRNA from 1 species
GUAGGUGGCAAGCGUUGUCCGGAAUUAUUGGGCGUAAAGCGCGCGCAGGCGGUCCUUUAAGUCUGAUGUGAAAGCCCACGGCUCAACCGUGGAGGGUCAUUGGAAACUGGGGGACUUGAGUACAGAAGAGGAAAGCGGAAUUCCAAGUGUAGCGGUGAAAUGCGUAGAGAUUUGGAGGAACACCAGUGGCGAAGGCGGCUUUCUGGUCUGUAACUGACGCUGAGGCGCGAAAGAGUGGGGAGCAGACAGGGAUUAGAUACCCUGGUAGUCCACGCCGUAAACGAUGAGUGCUAAGUGUUAGGGGGUUUCCCGCCCCUUAGUGCUGCAGCUAACGCAUUAAGCACUCCGCCUGGGGGAUACGGCCGCAAGGCUG